AUUGAACGCUGGCGGCAUGCCUUACACAUGCAAGUCGAACGGCAGCACGGGAGCUUGCUCCUGGUGGCGAGUGGCGAACGGGUGAGUAAUACAUCGGAACGUACCCUGAAGUGGGGGAUAACGUAGCGAAAGUUACGCUAAUACCGCAUAUUCUGUGAGCAGGAAAGAGGGGGAUCGCAAGACCUCUUGCUUUAGGAGCGGCCGAUGUCGGAUUAGCUAGUUGGUGAGGUAAAGGCUCACCAAGGCGACGAUCCGUAGCGGGUCUGAGAGGAUGAUCCGCCACACUGGGACUGAGACACGGCCCAGACUCCUACGGGAGGCAGCAGUAGGGAAUUUUGGACAAUGGGCGCAAGCCUGAUCCAGCCAUGCCGCGUGAGUGAAGAAGGCCUCGG
rnacentral:rRNA from 1 species